rnacentral:rRNA from 1 species
UGGGGAAUAUUGCACAAUGAGCGAAAGCCUGAUGCAGCGACGCCGCGUGAAGGAAGAAGGUCUUCGGAUCGUAAACUUCUGUCCUAGGGGAAGAAGAACUGACGGUACCCAAGGAGGAAGCCCCGGCUAACUACGUGCCAGCAGCCGCGGUAAUACGUAGGGGGCAAGCGUUAUCCGGAUUUACUGGGUGUAAAGGGAGCGUAGACGGCAAUGCAAGUCUGAAGUGAAAGGACGGGGCUUAACCCUGUGACUGCUUUGGAAACUGUGUAGCUUGAGUGCCGGAGGGGUAAGCGGAAUUCCUAGUGUAGCGGUGAAAUGCGUAGAUAUUAGGAGGAACACCAGUGGCGAAGGCGGCUUACUGGACGGUAACUGACGUUGAGGCUCGAAAGCGUGGGGAGCAAACAGGAUUAGAUACCCUGGUAGU